rnacentral:sRNA from 1 species
AUAAUCCAAUUAAUAUAACCCAAGUGUACCGUCACGAAUGUAUGGGUGUCCAGUAUGGAUUAUCAUUCGGGGUGCGCUGACGACUAAC